GACGAACGCUGGCGGCGUGCCUAAUACAUGCAAGUAGAACGCUGAAGAGAGGGGCUUACUCUUCUUGGAUGAGUUGCGAACGGGUGAGUAACGCGUAGGUAACCUGCCUUGUAGCGGGGGAUAACUAUUGGAAACGAUAGCUAAUACCGCAUAACAAUGGAUGACACAUGUCAUUUAUUUGAAAGGGGCAAUUGCUCCACUACAAGAUGGACCUGCGUUGUAUUAGCUAGUAGGUGAGGUAAUGGCUCACCUAGGCGACGAUACAUAGCCGACCUGAGAGGGUGAUCGGCCACACUGGGACUGAGACACGGCCCAGACUCCUACGGGAGGCAGCAGUAGGGAAUCUUCGGCAAUGGGGGCAACCCUGACCGAGCAACGCCGCGUGAGUGAAGAAGGUUUUCGGAUCGUAAAGCUCUGUUGUAAGUCAAGGACGGGUGUGAGAGUGGAAAGUUCACACUGUGACGGUAGCUUACCAGAAAGGGACGGCUAACUACGUG
rnacentral:rRNA from 1 species